CCCCAGUGAUGAGGAAAUGCGCAAGGCGAUAAACCCAUACGGCGUGUCAAAGAACGAGAAGGAAACUAAGCUGGUUAUGGAGACGUUAAAGAGGUCUGCCGGCAUCAAGGGUGAAUAGGACCAUCUCGGAUGCCUAGUCGUAAAAGGUUGGCGACCUGCCAGUCAGCCUCGGCCGGCAAGGACACUCAAGCCGCGGUUCGGGUGCUCCCGUCCUCUACACGGUCCUUCGACCGAGCUGUGGCGGCGGGGCUAAGGCUGCUGGUGAAUUAUAUUGUUACGUUGCGACGAUAUAGAAUGAUGGAUGACAUGUAGUAUGUUAAUAAAGAUAUGA